rnacentral:rRNA from 1 species
AGCGAACGCUGGCGGCAGGCCUAACACAUGCAAGUCGAACGAACCUUUCGGGGUUAGUGGCGGACGGGUGAGUAACACGUGGGAACGUGCCUUUAGGUUCGGAAUAACUCAGGGAAACUUGUGCUAAUACCGAAUGUGCCCUUCGGGGGAAAGAUUAAUCGCCUUUAGAGCGGCCCGCGUCUGAUUAGCUAGUUGGUUGAGGUAAUGGCUCACCAAGGCGACGAUCAGUAGCUGGUCUGAGAGGAUGAUCAGCCACAUUGGGACUGAGACACGGCCCAAACCCCUGCGGGAGGCAGCAGGGGGGAAUCUUGCGCAAUGGGCGAAAGCCUGACGCAGCCAUGCCGGGUGAAUGAGGAAGGUCUUAGGAUUGUAAAAUUCUUUCACCGGGGAGGAUAAGGACGGUACCCGGGGAAGAAGCCCCGGCUAACUUCGU